CGUACAGGUCUCCGUAGGUGAAUCUGCGGAGGGAUCAUUACACAAAUAUGAAGGCGGGCUGGAACCUCUCGGGGUUACAGCCUUGCUGAAUUAUUCACCCUCGUCUUUUGCGUACUUCUUGUUUCCUUGGUGGGUUCGCCCACCACUAGGACAAACAUAAACCUUUUGUAAUUGCAAUCAGCGUCAGUAACAAAUUAAUAAUUACAACUUUCAACAACGGAUCUCUUGGUUCUGGCAUCGAUGAAGAACGCAGCGAAAUGCGAUAAGUAGUGUGAAUUGCAGAAUUCAGUGAAUCAUCGAAUCUUUGAACGCACAUUGCGCCCUUUGGUAUUCCAAAGGGCAUGCCUGUUCGAGCGUCAUUUGUACCCUCAAGCUUUGCUUGGUGUUGGGCGUCUUGUCUCUAGCUUUGCUGGAGACUCGCCUUAAAGUAAUUGGCAGCCGGCCUACUGGUUUCGGAGCGCAGCACAAGUCGCACUCUCUAUCAGCAAAGGUCUAGCAUCCAUUAAGCCUUUUUUUCAACUUUUGACCUCGGAUCAGGUAGGGAUACCCGCUGAACUUAAGCAUAUC
rnacentral:rRNA from 1 species